rnacentral:tRNA from 1 species
GCCUGUUUUGCUCAGUGGUUAGAGUGUUGGCCUUCAGACCAAAGAAUUGUGGGUUCGAUUCCCAGUCAAAGGCA